rnacentral:rRNA from 1 species
UCAGUAACGGCGAGUGAAGCGGUAACAGCUCAAAUUUGAAAUCUGGCCUCACGGUCCGAGUUGUAAUUUGUAGAGGAUGCUUCGAGCAUGGUCUGGCCUAAGUUCCUUGGAACAGGACGUCAUAGAGGGUGAGAAUCCCGUAUGCGGCCAGGUGCCUACGCUCAUGUGAAGCUCCUUCGACGAGUCGAGUUGUUUGGGAAUGCAGCUCAAAAUGGGUGGUAAAUUUCAUCUAAAGCUAAAUAUUGGCCAGAGACCGAUAGCGCACAAGUAGAGUGAUCGAAAGAUGAAAAGCACUUUGGAAAGAGAGUUAAACAGUACGUGAAAUUGUUGAAAGGGAAGCGCUUGCAACCAGACUUGCGCGCGGCCGAUCAUCCGGUGUUCUCACCGGUGCACUCGGCCGUGCUCAGGCCAGCAUCGGUUUUGGCGGCUGGAUAAAGGCCCUAGGAAUGUGGCUCCUCUCGGGGAGUGUUAUAGCCUAGGGUGCAAUGCAGCCUGCUGGGACCGAGGACCGCGCUUCGGCUAGGAUGCUGGCGUAAUGGUUGUAAGCGGCCCGUCUUGAAACACGGACCAAGGAGUCUAACAUCUAUGCGAGUGUUUGGGUGUCAAACCCAUACGCGUAAUGAAAGUGAACGGAGGUGAGAACCCUUAAGGGUGCAUCAUCGACCGAUCCUGAUGUCUUCGGAAGGAUUUGAGUAAGAGCAUAGCUGUUGGGACCCGAAAGAUGGUGAACUAUGCCUGAAUAGGGUGAAGCCAGAGGAAACUCUGGUGGAGGCUCGCAGCGGUUCUGACGUGCAAAUCGAUCGUCAAAUUUG